rnacentral:lncRNA from 1 species
UAAAUAUGCGUGUGAGGAGUGAAGGUAAUGAUUAGGUAAGAAAAUAAAGGUUUGAGCAAAGCAGAAUCUGUAAUUCAUCUUGACAGAGAAAAGGAAGCUGAAUCAAAGUGCAUCAGGCCCUUGAAUGCAGAAGGAAGCCAAGACGUGCACACAGGGCUGCUGGUGCCAGGAGAAUCUCCAGUCAGAGGUCACUAGGGAUGAGCAGAAUAGUGACUUAAUUAUGGAAAAAGCCAAUCUGCUUCAAGAUUCCUAGUCCACUCUCUGGAUCAAGCA